UACGGGGGGAGCAAGCGUUGUUCGGAUUUACUGGGCGUAAAGGGCGCGUAGGCGGUCGUGACAAGUCACUUGUGAAAUCUCCGGGCUUAACUCGGAACGGUCAAGUGAUACUGUCGGACUAGAGUACAGAAGGGGCAACUGGAAUUCUCGGUGUAGCGGUGAAAUGCGUAGAUAUCAGGAAGAACACCCGUGGCGAAGGCGGCUCUCUGGAACGCAACUGACGCUGAGACGCGAAAGCGUGGGGAGCAAACAGG
rnacentral:rRNA from 1 species